rnacentral:tRNA from 1 species
GUUAUCGUGGCCGAGAGGUUAAGGCGAUAGAUUAGAACUAUUUUGGGAUCUUCCCGCGCAGAUUCGAAUCCUGCCAACAAUU